CGGGACGGGGUGGAGUAAUGUCUGGGAAACGUGCCUGAUGGAGGGGAUAACUACUGGAAACGGUAGCUAAUACCGCAUAACGUCGCAAGACCAAAGAGGGGGACCUUCGGGCCUCUUGCCAUCGGAUGUGCCCAGAUGGGAUUAGCUAGUAGGUGGGGUAACGGCUCACCUAGGCGACGAUCCCUAGCUGGUCUGAGAGGAUGCCAGCCACACUGGAACUGAGACACGGUCCAG
rnacentral:rRNA from 1 species